GUUCGUAGUGACCUGCGGAGGAUCAUUAAUGAUAUAAAUUGUCUUACCUUCAGUGCUGGCUCUUACAAGGGCAUGUGCACGUUGGAAGGCAUAUAUCCAACACCCUCUUGUGAACCAUUGGCCUUUGCUGGCUUCGGCUGGUCGAGGAUUUACACAAACACGAAUGUAAUGAAAUAAUGUUGUGCUCAGCACUAAUAUACAACUUUCAACAACGGAUCUCUUGGCUCUCGCAUCGAUGAAGAACGCAGCGAAAUGCGAUAAGUAAUGUGAAUUGCAGAAUUCAGUGAAUCAUCGAAUCUUUGAACGCACCUUGCACCCUUUGGUAUUCCGAAGGGUAUGCUCGUUUGAGUGUCAUUAUACUCUCACACUCUCUGAUUAGAGAGCGGUGGACGUGGAUGUUGCCUGGUGCUUGUUGUCAGGCUCAUCUGAAAUGAGUUAGUACGACUCCUAGUUAAACAUAGUACGGCGUUAUAACUAAACCCUCGCUGUUUUUUUGUCUGAUUAGGAGCCUUGUGCUUCGAACCGUCUUCGGACAAUAUCUGAUAACUUGACCUCAAAUCGAGUAGGAUUACCCGCUGAACUUAAGCAUAUCAAUAAGCGGAGGAAAAGAAACUAACAAGGAUUCCCCUAGUAACGGCGAGUGAAGAGGGAAAAGCUCAAAUUUUGAAUCUGGCGUCUUUGGCGUCCGA
rnacentral:rRNA from 1 species